GACGAACGCUGGCGGCGUGCUUAACACAUGCAAGUCGAACGGAAAGGCCCUGCUUUUGUGGGGUGCUCGAGUGGCGAACGGGUGAGUAACACGUGAGUAGCCUGCCCUUGACUUUGGGAUAACUUCAGGAAACUGGGGCUAAUACCGGAUAGGAGCUCCUGCUGCAUGGUGGGGGUUGGAAAGUUUCGGCGGUUGGGGAUGGACUCGCGGCUUAUCAGCUUGUUGGUGGGGUAGUGGCUUACCAAGGCUUUGACGGGUAGCCGGCCUGAGAGGGUGACCGGCCACAUUGGGACUGAGAUACGGCCCAGACUCCUACGGGAGGCAGCAGUGGGGAAUAUUGCACAAUGGGCGGAAGCCUGAUGCAGCAACGCCGCGUGCGGGAUGACGGCCUUCGGGUUGUAAACCGCUUUCGCCUGUGACGAAGCGUGAGUGACGGUAAUGGGUAAAGAAGCACCGGCUAACUACAUG
rnacentral:rRNA from 1 species